AACUUUUGACAACGGAUUUCUCGGCUCUCGCAACGAUGAAGAACGCAGCAAAAUGCGAUACGUAUCAUGAAUUGCAAAUCUGUGAAUGAGAAAUUUUUGAACGCACAUUGCGCCAGCUUUUGGUUGGCAUGUCUGUCUGAGAAUCUUU
rnacentral:rRNA from 1 species